rnacentral:rRNA from 1 species
AACGAACGCUGGCGGCAUGCCUAACACAUGCAAGUCGAACGAGACCUUCGGGUCUAGUGGCGCACGGGCGCGUAACGCGUGGGAAUCUGCCCUUGGGUUCGGAAUAACAGCGAGAAAUUGCUGCUAAUACCGGAUGAUGUCGCAAGACCAAAGAUUUAUCGCCCAAGGAUGAGCCCGCGUAGGAUUAGCUUGUUGGUGAGGUAAAAGCUCACCAAGGCGACGAUCCUUAGCUGGUCUGAGAGGAUGAUCAGCCACACUGGGACUGAGACACGGCCCAGACUCCUACGGGAGGCAGCAGUGGGGAAUAUUGGACAAUGGGCGAAAGCCUGAUCCAGCAAUGCCGCGUGAGUGAUGAAGGCCUUAGGGUUGUAAAGCUCUUUUACCCGGGAUGAUAAUGACAGUACCGGGAGAAUAAGCCCCGGCUAACUCCGUGCCAGCAGCCGCGGUAAU